UACGAAGGGUGCAAGCGUUAAUCGGAAUUACUGGGCGUAAAGGGUGCGUAGGCGGUUCGUUAAGUCUGUCGUGAAAUCCCCGGGCUCAACCUGGGAAUGGCGAUGGAUACUGGCGAGCUAGAGUGUGUCAGAGGAUGGUGGAAUUCCCGGUGUAGCGGUGAAAUGCGUAGAGAUCGGGAGGAACAUCAGUGGCGAAGGCGGCCAUCUGGGACAACACUGACGCUGAGGUGCGAAAGCGUGGGGAGCAAAC
rnacentral:rRNA from 1 species